UUUUGUUCUGUUUCGGGAUAUGGAGUGAUUCCUACUCUUCACUGGGUUUGGCUCAAUGGAGGAAUUGGUGCUCCUAUUGUACAGGACUUUGCACCCCGUGUAAUUGUGAUGUAUAUGAUUGCUCUUCUUGCUUUCCUAUUCUACAUUUCCAAAGUCCCAGAGCGGUACUUUCCAGCUUUAAAAUCAUAUUUUAGAAUCAGGAACGAAGAUUCAGGGAAUGUCUGUCACAUCUUAUGGCAUCCCACCUGGACAGAAUAUCCGAUUUGAAGAUUGUGAUUGACUUCCGUAAAACUGUACAACUCUCCAUUUGGCAGUGCUUACGUGAAGUACCAAAACCUAAAAUAAACCAAGCAGAGUAGCUGACUUGUAAGAAAACUGCUCUGCCUGGUGAACUUCAGCAUAGAAGAGUGGGCUCCACCUUAGAUUUUCCACCAGCAAGAGGACAACAGUCUAUCACUCUUAAACAAUAAACAGGGUAAGACUGAAA
rnacentral:ncRNA from 2 species